UUGGUGAGGUAACGGCCCACCAAGGCGACGAUGGGUAGCCGGCCUGAGAGGGCGACCGGCCACACUGGGAGUGAGACACGGCCCUGACUCCUACGGGAGGCAGCAGUGGGGAAUAUUGCGCAAUGGGAGAAAGCCUGACGCAGCGACGCCGCGUGAGGGAUGAAGGCCUUCGGGUUGUAAACCUCUUUCAGCAGGGACGAAAACAGACGGUACCUGCAGAAGAAGCACCGGCCAACUACGUGCCAGCAGCCGCGGUAAUACGUAGGGUGCAAGCGUUGUCCGGAAUUAUUGGGCGUAAAGAGCUCGUAGGCGGUUUGUCGCGUCGGCUGUGAAAACUCGGGGCUCAACCCCGAGCCUGCAGUCGAUACGGGCAGACUAGAGUGCGGUAGGGGAGACUGGAAUUCCUGGUGUAGCGGUGAAAUGCGCAGAUAUCAGGAGGAACACCGGUGGCGAAGGCGGGUCUCUGGGCCGUAACUGACGCUGAGGAGCGAAAGCGUGGGGAGCAAACAGGAUUAGAUACCCUGGUAGUCCACGCCGUAAACGGUGGGUGCUAGGUGUAGGC
rnacentral:rRNA from 1 species